UACAGAGGGGGCAAGCGUUGUUCGGAAUUACUGGGCGUAAAGGGCGCGUAGGCGGCCUGCUAAGUCGAACGUGAAAUCCCCGAGCUCAACUCGGGAACUGCGUCCGAUACUGGCAGGCUUGAAUCCGGGAGAGGGAUGCGGAAUUCCAGGUGUAGCGGUGAAAUGCGUAGAUAUCUGGAGGAACACCGGUGGCGAAGGCGGCAUCUGGACCGGCAUUGACGCUGAGGCGCGAAAGCCAGGGGAGCAAAGCGGG
rnacentral:rRNA from 1 species